UGGCUCAGAUGGUAAAGCAUCUGUCUACAAUGCAGGAGACCCAGGUUCGAUCCCUGG
rfam:TPA: Bos taurus chromosome 10, whole genome shotgun sequence.